AGAGAGAGAGGAAUUGACUAGCUAAUUGCAGUGGCAGUGGAUGAGAAGAACUGACUGGCUAAUUGUAGUGGCAGUGGAUGAGAAACGUAAUCAGUUGAAAGCAAAAAUGAUAUGCUCUAGAAAAAGGGUGGCGACACCUACGCAAUUGACGAAAUGGGAAAUAAAGACGAUGCUCUCCCACAAGUGUCAUUUUCUGCAAGAAUAUUGGAAGAUACCGAGUCUCUG
rnacentral:misc_RNA from 1 species